rnacentral:rRNA from 1 species
UACGUAGGUGGCAAGCGUUGUCCGGAGUUAUUGGGCGUAAAGCGCGCGCAGGCGGCAUGGCAAGUAAGGUGUGAAAUCUCCCUGCCUAACGGGGAGGGUGCAUUUUAGACUGCCAAGCUAGAGGACGGUAGAGGGGGGUAGAAUUGCUGGUGUAGCGGUGAAAUGCGUAGAGAUCAGCAGGAAUACCCGUGGCGAAGGCGGCCCCCUGGGCCGAACCUGACGCUGAGGCGCGAAGGCUAGGGGAGCGAACGGG